CCUACGGGUGGCAGCAGUGAGGAAUAUUGGUCAAUGGUCGGGAGACUGAACCAGCAAAGCCGCGUGAGGGAGGAAGGUACAGAGUAUCGUAAACCUCUUUUGUCAGGGAACAAAGACUGGGACGCGUCCCCGGACGAGUGUACCUGAAGAAAAAGCAUCGGCUAACUCCGUGCCAGCAGCCGCGGUAAUACGGGGGAUGCGGGCGUUAUCCGGAUUUAUUGGGUUUAAGGGGUGCGCAGGGGGUGUGUUAAGUCGGCGGUCAAAGCCCGGGGCUCAACCCCGGGCCGCCGUUGAAACUGGGAGUCUAGAGUGGGAGAGAAGUAUGCGGAAUGCGCGGUGUAGCGGUGGAAUGCAUAGAUAUCGCGCAGAACUCC
rnacentral:rRNA from 1 species